rnacentral:sRNA from 1 species
GGGUGGGGGGGAAAGAUGGCGGAGCUGAUGCUCCUCAGCGAGAUUGCUGACCCGACGCGUUUCUUCACCGACAACCUGCUUAGCCCGGAGGACUGGGGUCUGCAGAACAGCACCUUGUAUUCUGGCCUAGAUGAAGUGGCCGAGGAGCAGACGCAGCUCUUUCGUUGCCCGGAGCAGGAUGUCCCGUUUGAGGGCAGCUCCCUGGACGUGGGGAUGGAUGUCAGCCCCCCUGAGCCCCCAUGGGAACUCCUGCCAAUCUUCCCAGAUCUUCAGGUGAAGUCUGAGCCGUCUUCCCCCUGCUCUUCCUCCUCCCUCAGCUCCGAGUCAUCGCGUCUCUCCACAGAGCCAUCCAGCGAGGCUCUUGGGGUAGGGGAGGUGCUCCAUGUGAAGACAGAGUCCUUGGCACCCCCACUGUGUCUCCUGGGAGAUGACCCAACAUCCUCAUUUGAAACCGUCCAGAUCAACGUUAUCCCCACCUCUGAUGAUUCCUCAGAUGUCCAGACCAAGAUAGAACCUGUCUCUCCAUGUUCUUCCGUCAACUCUGAGGCCUCCCUGCUCUCAGCCGACUCCUCCAGCCAGGCUUUUAUAGGAGAGGAGGUCCUGGAAGUGAAGACAGAGUCCCUCUCCCCUUCAGGAUGCCUCCUUUGGGAUGUCCCAGCCCCCUCACUUGGAGCUGUCCAGAUCAGCAUGGGCCCAUCCCUUGAUGGCUCCUCAGGGAAAGCCCUGCCCACCCGGAAGCCACCACUGCAGCCCAAACCUGUAGUGCUAACCACUGUCCCAAUGCCACCCAGAGCUGUGCCUCCCAGCACCACCGUCCUUCUGCAGCCCCUCGUCCAGCCACCCCCAGGUACUGAAGAAGGAGAAAAGGGCCGGGCAUGGUGGCUCACGCCGGUAAUCCCAGCACUUUGGGAGGCUGAGGCGGGCGGAUCACCUGAGGUCAGAAGUUUAAGACCAGCCUGGCCAACGUGGUGAAACCUUGUCUCUACUAAAAAUACAAAAAUUAGCGUGGAGUGGUGGCAGGCGCCUGUAAUCCCAGCUCCUCGGGAGGCUGAGGCAGGAGAAUCACUUGAACCCAGGAGGCGGAGGUUGCAGUGAGCCGAGAUCAUGCCACUGCACUCCAGCCUGGGCGACAAAGCGAGACUUUGUCUCAAAAAAAAAAAAAAAAAAAGAAAAAAGAAAAA